UACGUAGGGUGCGAGCGUUGUCCGGAAUUACUGGGCGUAAAGAGCUCGUAGGUGGUUUGUCGCGUUGUUCGUGAAAUCUCACGGCUUAACUGUGAGCGUGCGGGCGAUACGGGCAGACUUGAGUACUGCAGGGGAGACUGGAAUUCCUGGUGUAGCGGUGGAAUGCGCAGAUAUCAGGAGGAACACCGGUGGCGAAGGCGGGUCUCUGGGCAGUAACUGACGCUGAGGUACGAAAGCUAGGGGAGCGAACGGG
rnacentral:rRNA from 1 species